rnacentral:rRNA from 1 species
UACGUAGGGUGCGAGCGUUGUCCGGAUUUAUUGGGCGUAAAGAGCUCGUAGGUGGUUCGAUAAGUCGGGUGUGAAACCUCCAGGCUCAACCUGGAGACGCCACCCGAUACUGUCGUGACUAGAGUCCAGUAGGGGAGCGUGGAAUUCCUGGUGUAGCGGUGAAAUGCGCAGAUAUCAGGAGGAACACCAGCGGCGAAGGCGGCGCUCUGGGCUGGCACUGACACUGAGGAGCGAAAGCGUGGGGAGCGAACAGG